rnacentral:tRNA from 1 species
UGUCCUGUGGUGUAAUGGUAGCACACCGCCCUUUGGAGGCGUGGGCCAUGGUUCGAAUCCAUGCGGGACAG